UACGGGGGGAGCAAGCGUUGUUCGGAUUUACUGGGCGUAAAGGGCGCGUAGGCGGCCACCGCAAGUCGACUGUGAAAUCUCCGGGCUUAACUCGGAAAGGUCAGCCGAUACUGCGGGGCUAGAGUGCAGAAGGGGCAACUGGAAUUCUCGGUGUAGCGGUGAAAUGCGUAGAUAUCGAGAGGAACACCUGCGGCGAAGGCGGCCAUCUGGACCGUUUCUGACGCUGAGGCGCGAAAGCGUGGGGAGCAAACAGG
rnacentral:rRNA from 1 species